CUGAUACACUUUGAAUGAUAAACAGUCUUUUAAUUUUCACGGUAAAACUGUACAUUCAAACAAAAUGUACUAUGAGAUAAAAGAAAAACAAGCAAAAAAUUAAAACAAACCAAAACAAAAUCAACCAGAAUAUAUUCUCUCAAUGCAAUCAAUUUUGAAACAAAAUGUUAUUGUCAUCCCCAAAGCUACACAAACUCAUGAGAGCACAUUCCAACACAUUCUCACUCCCAACUCGUCACAAACUGACUUUGGUUGAGGACCGCUCCGUGCGCUCCGCAUCCCGGUACUAAAGUGGUGACCCGGUAAAGGUUCGUGUCCGGGCCUGGUUUGCACCCAGUACUGUGUCUGGUGCGGGUUUAGGUCUGGUACCACGUCUGGUGCUGGGUUAGGGUCCUGGACUUUUAGUUAUGUACUGGUACUAGACACGUCCCAAGGACCAGUCCCCGUCUGGUACUGGUACUGCAUCUAGUACAAGGUUGCAGACCCUUAAUUUUAUGAACAGCCAACACGUCAAAAAAACUAUGAGUUAGGACACCCGAAAUGUCAAAAAGGGAUGCAGAGGGGUCCUUAACCAAACGGGAAUAUGUGACGAUUUGGGGAUGAGAAUGUGUUGCCCAUUCAGUCAGACUUCUGAAGGUCACUAUCAGCUUAAUAUAAGCAAAUUUUACAAGCAAACUGGUUUUUAGAAGGGAAAAAACGUGGAGAACACCCACAGCAGAAAGCAGAAAGUAAAUGAUUCUUCCCAGUUAGUGCAAGUUUAGCCAUUGCAAAAAUAAAAUUAAGAAGCAUGUGUGUUUCCUACACACAGCAUACUUCAGACAGAAACAAUGGGAAAGGAAACACCUCCUCCGGCCUGCCACAACAAUCUUUCAGAUCAGCCAACAGACCCCUCAGCCUGUUACACUAAAAGUGUCUGGGAGUUUCAGACACCAACAAAAAUCACACAUCUCUGAUAGGAACAAACUGUGCUUUGUCUCUGUAACUAUGGCACCAUGUACAAUUCUCCAUUGGAAAUAAGCUGCACAUUUCUCAUCGGGGAACUUUAACAGAGAUCGCCAGCGUCCUUUCAGAGUACAGCGCAAGAACCUCAGUCCACUCAGAAAUGGCCAUGUACUUCAGCGACUGAAAUGUCAAACCUUCACACAUGUGUUGCAGAGUCUUCUCUGCCGUGGACAGAACUGAUCUCACGACGUCCUCCAUCACUUUAGACAGGAGCCUGCGUCAAAGAAGAACACCCUGACUGUCAGCAUCUGGGGAUAAGACCAAAUGACCCAGCUUCACACAAGCAGGACCCUUUUACUGAGUAUGAGAUCAGAAGAUUGGAGUCAACCAAAGUAUUGAAAAACAAAGGAGGAUCCUGGCAGUGUCGAGACACCGCAUACCGCUGUGGUACAGGAGCCGUUGGAGGGUCUGGAGUCUAAAGGCCAUGGGUCUGGAUGUAACCACAACCAAGACGGAAUUUUGAGGACCGGCAAGAAGAAACGGCGUUCUCCUCGGGUGCGUUUAAGGCGGCUGGAACGUGAGCUGUGAGGAGGAGCUGAUCCUGAGUUGCUGAUCCUGAUCUGCUUUGAAGCAUUCACACAAUUACCAAAAUGGAGUUUGACACCCCCGUCCUAAACACUCCCAGACCUCCACAGCACUUCAAAAGUUCUCCUUUCAUCUCUCCUCGGUAAGUUGAACCUUUCAACUCAUUUCUACAUCCACUCGUCUGUAUCGCCUGCACAGAUCCACCUCUCCCUCCUUUGGGUCACACCUGUCCUAUUUUGUUUGACCUUCAUCACCUUCACCUGGUGCUGCAACUCCGUCUUCUCUCUGUUCCACUCUUUCCUUUUCUCAGCUUUUCCUCUAAACUCCAAAACUUCUUCACUCCAGAUGAAAACACAAACCUGUCAGUUAUGUCUCAGAUAUUUUUACCAUGAAGCAUAAAAAACAUUUUACCCACAAACACCGGCGUGUUGCUUAGUAACAGAGACUAACCUGAAUGCAAACUUUAGAAAAAAAAAGAACCAAUUAUUUUUUACUCCAUAAAUAGUUUAAAAACAAUCAAACUACAUAUUUUCAGUGAAGUGUGUAUUUUUGUCACAGCAUGUUGUAACCAUAGAAAUGAACAAUGGCUCCGCCUCCUGAGGUGAAGCAGGUGUGUGAGUCUGCAUCACAGCAUCUCUGAAAGCAUCAGACUGAAGCAGAAGCCAAAAAAGCUGUUAGUGAUCUCCACCUGCAGCGUCCAAAUUAUGCACCGCGGUUCAGAUGAAAAAACACAUUUUAGUCUUUUAAUGGACUAUUGCUUGGUGUUUAUAUGCAUAUGAGCAGCAGUCCUCCUCUGUCCUCCUGCUGGAGUUUCUUCUCCGGAUGAUUUUCUGUUUCUGUCUCCUCUGUUUAUCUGAGACCUGAGGCUGCGACACAAACAAGUUUGAGCAAAAUCUAACCUCAUAUAUAACAUCACAGCUUCAAGGUUCUGUCUGGAACCAAAGGAAAAGCAGACGAGACUCAAUGAAGAACUCAUGACGGUUGUUACGGCAACAGCUUUUGUAAACUACCUGUUUAUAAAGAAAACCUGUUUACCUGAAAACACGACAUCCUCCAUGAGGAAGGAAACCACCUCUUACUAUGCAGUGAGGUUCACCUGUUCACAGGUGUGGUGUGUUUGAGGCUCCGUUCUUUUUUAGAAAUCUGCUAUAAUCCAGAAAAUCUUUUACUAUUUUGUCUUUUUUCUUUGAUAAAUUCCCUUUGAGUGUGUGAACGGUGGUGGGUAAAUGCUGCCUUGCUCACUGACAAAAACAGCUUUCAGCUCACAGUCGCAGGUUAAUAGAAGCUGGCUAACAGUGAUAAGCAAACAGGUUUUAAGAUCCUUCACAAAUCGACCAUCAUCUCUGCGUUACCAUGACAACAGGACCCAUAAAGUGUCGUUUCAUUUUUUGGCUGAUUCUCUGUCAUCUGUGUCUAUAAAGUUAUGUUGAGGAAAAAAACGUUUAGUUCAGAACUCUGUUGGAUGGCGGAUCCGUUUCAGCCUUCAGAGAAACAACACGGAGCCCCCCGCCCCCCUUGAAAAACGGUGGGGGUGUCUGUGUGUUAGCAGGGAUGGAUGACAGUAUAUCAGUGGGGAAGAGGGAUGGAUUUUCAUCAUGAGCUGUCACCACGUCUCCCACUCACCCCCACCCCCAACAAACUCCACUGGGUGGGAGGAUCAUUGUCCUCCAG